GACGAGGGGUCCUAGCGUUGUUCGGAAUCACUGGGCGUAAAGCGUAUGUAGGCGGCUUUCUAAGUCGGAUGUGAAAUCCCUCGGCUCAACUGAGGAAGUGCAUCCGAAACUGGCAAGCUUGAGUACGAAAGAGGGUCGCGGAAUUCCCGGUGUAGAGGUGAAAUUCGUAGAUAUCGGGAGGAACACCGGUGGCGAAGGCGGCGACCUGGGUCGAUACUGACGCUGAGGUGCGAAAGCGUGGGGAGCAAACAGG
rnacentral:rRNA from 1 species